CGGAGGGGCGUAGCGUUGUUCGGAAUUACUGGGCGUAAAGCGUACGUAGGCAGACAUUCAAGUCAGAGGUGAAAGCCCGGGGCUCAACUCCGGAACUGCCUUUGAAACUAGGUGUCUUGAUCACGGGAGAGGUGAGUGGAAUUCCGAGUGUAGAGGUGAAAUUCGUAGAUAUUCGGAAGAACACCAGUGGCGAAGGCGGCUCACUGGACCGUUGAUGACGCUGAGGUACGAAAGCGUGGGGAGCAAACAGGAUUU
rnacentral:rRNA from 1 species